rnacentral:tRNA from 1 species
UGCGGGGUGGAGCAGUCCGGUAGCUCGUUGGGCUCAUAACCCAAAGGUCCCAGGUUCAAAUCCUGGCCCCGCUACCA